rnacentral:rRNA from 1 species
UACGGAGGGUGCAAGCGUUAUCCGGAUUCACUGGGUUUAAAGGGUGUGUAGGCGGGCUGUUAAGUCAGUGGUGAAAUCUCCGGGCUCAACCCGGAAACUGCCAUUGAUACUAUCAGUCUUGAAUCUUGUUGAGGUAGGCGGAAUAUAUCAUGUAGCGGUGAAAUGCUUAGAUAUGAUAUAGAACACCGAUUGCGAAGGCAGCUUACUAAACAAGCAUUGACGCUGAGGCACGAAAGCGUGGGGAGCAAACAGG